rnacentral:rRNA from 1 species
AUGCGCGGCGGCGAUGGGAAGCCCGGGAGGGGCCCGAAGAGGCAGCUCAACGCCGGCUACGUCGUCGGCGGCCUCCUCAUGCUCCUCACCUAUCUCGUCGCUCAGCAUUUCGCGGUCAGCUCCCCCAAUGUUGUCAUCACGGAAGCACCACGGAUCGUGGACGAUGUCAAGUCUCCCGGCGAAACAGCGGUUGUCAGUAGGGAAGUACCACAGAUCGUGGAUAAUACCAAAGAUCCCGGCGAAACAGCUGUUGUCAGUGCGGAAGUACCACAAAUCGCGGAUAAUACUAUCAAAGCUCCCCGUGAAACAGAGAAUGGCAAGGUGGUGUGUAACAUGGAGGGCCGCUCCGACACCUGCGAAGUCGACGGCGACGUGCGCACCAACGGCACAGCCCUGUCGGUGACCCUCGUCCCGGCGGCGAGCUGGCCGGAGCGCCACGAGUGGAUGAUCAACCCGUACUCGCGGAGGUUCGCCAGCCUCAGGAAGGUCACCGUGACGCAGCUGCAGGACCGGGCGGCCGCCCCGCCGUGCACGGUGACCCACGACAUGCCGGCCGUCCUGUUCGGGGUCGGCGGGUACGCGGCCAACUACUGGCACGCCUACGCCGACAUCCUGGUGCCGCUGUUCGUCGCGUCGCGGCGGUACCACGGCGAGGUCAUGUUCCUGGUCAGCAACAUCCAGUUCAGGCCGCGGUGGCUGGUCAAGUACAGGGCCUUCCUGCAGGGGCUGUCCAAGUACGACCUCGUGGACAUGGACGGGGACGCGCAGGUGCGGUGCUUCCCGCGCGUCACCGUGGGGCUCCGCCUCGACAAGGAGCUGAGCAUCGUCCCCGAGCUGGUGCCGGGGGGCCGCCUCUCCAUGCCCGACUUCACCGGGUUCCUGCGCGAGGCCUACGCGCUCCCACGCGGCGCGGCGGCCAGCCUGGCCCGGGAGCCGGAGAAGAAGCCGCGGCUGCUGCUGAUCCACCGGGGCCACUACCGCCGCAUCCUGAACGAGCCGGAGGUGGCGCGAGCGGCGGAGGCGGCGGGGUUCGAGGCGGUGGUGACGGAGCUGCGGGGCGGGGGCGACACGCCGGAGGGGGAGGUGGAGCAGGCGCGGGUGGUGAACUCGUUCGACGUGGUGCUGGGCCUGCACGGCGCGGGGCUGACGAACGCCAUGUUCCUGCCGCCCGGCGGCGUGCUGAUCCAGGUGGUGCCGUACGGGAACAUGGAGGACAUCGCGAGGGCGGAGUUCAGCGAGCCCGCCACGGACAUGGGGCUCAAGUACCUCGACUACAGCGUGUGCGCGGAGGAGAGCUCGCUGAUGGAGACGCUGGGGCCGGAGCACCCGGCGGUCAAGGACCCCGCCUCCGUCCACCGCAGCGGCUGGGACAAGGUGUUCGAGCUGUACCUCGCCAAGCAGAACGUCCGCAUCAACGUCACCCGCUUCGCGCCGACGCUGGCGCAGGCGCUCGACCACCUACGCCGGCAGUAG